rnacentral:lncRNA from 1 species
GUUGGAUAUCUCUCUCAGCCUUGAGAAGCGUAGGAGGAGAGGUCUGGCCAAACCUCUAUCCUAAGAUAUAUCCAUCUCUUUCCUCUCCUGGUAACUGGAUAUUCCCCCCUCCCAGUUCCCAAACUAAAGGAACAUCUGAAGAAGACAUUUUGAGCCUUUCUCAAAACUUUACCUCACAGCUCCUGGUGCCCUGCAUCUGAACUGUGUCCAGGGGCCAAAGACCAGGAUGUAGCUUAACACAAAAUGUGGGGGAAUACAACCUUUACAAGAAAGGGAACAUGGAGCACUGCAAAACAAUUUAGGGUUGGUGAAAGAGCUGCAACCCAAGGUUUUUCCAGUAAUAUACCAAAAGCAAAAUGUGAUAUUGGAUGGGCAUGAAUAGUAGAUCCAGGGAUAUGCUGGAGCCAGAUCUAAGCAACUUCUUAGAGCAAUUGUUAAAUUUCUAAUAUGAGCAUGUACAUCUCAGAUAACAACAAUCACUAAAAAUCAAGGAUAAUUUUUUUGUU